CUUUACAAAUUCGAUCCAUGGGUUUUACCAAAUAAGGCACUGUUUGGAGAAAAAGAAUGGUAUUUUUUUAGUCCGAGGGAUAGAAAAUAUCCAAACGGGUCAAGACCAAAUCGGGUUGCUGGAUCGGGUUAUUGGAAGGCUACGGGUACGGAUAAAAUAAUAUCGACGGAAGGACAAAGAGUUGG